UCCAUGUAUGUGUGUAUAUCCACCCAGAGCCUAUCAGGUGGGCGUCUCUUGUCUUUCUUCUUCCUUCCUGGGUAGAGGUUUGUCUCUCUUCCUCUAUCUGCGUUGUGAAGUUGAUCUGUGUGCUGUCUCUGACUUGGGGGAGCCGUCUCUCCCAUCCUAUUCUCUCUGACUGUCUCGCAGAUCCUCUUCCUGGGAUUAAAGAUGACCGUCAUCCUGGACUUUGUGGAAUGUCUCACAGACUCACCACGUACAAGGUGAGAGGCCGGUUACAGAAUGUUAAUCAGUAGUGCAAUGCUCUGCAGG